CAAAUACUCCCUCCGUCCGAAAAUACUUGUCAUCAAAAUGGAUAAAAGGAAAUGUAUCUAGAUGUAUUUUAGUUUUAGAUACAUCUCUUUUUAUCCAUUUUGAUGACAAGUAUUUUUGGACGGCGGGAGUAGAAA
rnacentral:pre_miRNA from 1 species